AAUUGACUCUAGUAGGGAGU
rnacentral:miRNA from 1 species